rnacentral:rRNA from 1 species
AUGAAAAGCACUUUGAAAAGAGGGUGAAAAGAAUCUGAAACCGUUGUGAGGGAAGCGGAUUGCGUUGCAGUAACUGUGGGCGCCGGUGUGUUCAGCCUGUUUCGGCGGGUGUAGUGGCACCGGUGGCUCCGUCUGCUGUGGGUUUGUGGUGGCUGAUUGCAAGGCUGCUGCGGACUGAGGGCUCCGUGCUGCUUUGCGGCGGCACGUGAGGACGGCAGGGUGACGACGCGAUACGACCCGUCUUGAAACACGGACCAAGGAGUCUAGCACAGCUGCGAGUCUGAGGGUGUCAAAGCCUGUGGGCGAAGUGAAAGCGAAAGAUGGCGGUAAUUCCAUAAUUUCAGAAUGACAAAGUUGUUGCAAUUUGGGGCGGCGCGCGAUCUCUGAUUGCGUGUCCGACCURGAGCAGUUGUGCUGGUACCCGAAAGAUGGUGAACUAUUCCUGAGUAGGGUGAAGCCGGAGGAAACUCUGGUGGAAGCCCGAAGCGGUGCUGACGUGCAAAUCGCUCGUCAAACUUGGGUAUAGGGGCGAAAGACUAAUCGAACCAUCUAGUAGCUGGUUCCCUCCGAAGUUUCUCUCAGGAUAGCGGGCCGACGACGUGAAAAAGAGCUAAUAUAUGGUUGUUUUGUGU